UUACAAAUCCAACAAGUACAUUGUUAUGGUUAUUAUGUAAUGUUAUAACUUUUGAAGAAGCUGAGAAAAGAUAGGAGAAUAAGCAAAUAUUUAUAGCUUUUCUAUAUUAACCUCAAUAUUUACCAUUUUUGGUUUUCUUCAUUUGUUUCUGUGGAUUCCAGUUACUAUCUUGAGUAAUUUUAUUAUCCCCAAAGAGCUUUGCUUCUACCUACCUUCUUUGUGCUGUUAUUGACCAAUAUACAUUUCUAAAUGUUAGACCUGACAAUACAUUACAUGCAUAUUCUUUUAUAUUAUUACUUUUAAAUCAAUUAAGAAAAAGAUAAGAAAUAUACAUAUAUACUAUCUUCCAUAAUAACACAAUUACUUUUUCCAGCAUUCAGUUUUAUCAUGCCAAUAUAAAAUUUCAUUUAUUUUUUAAAUUUUUAAAAAAGAUUUUAUUUAUAAAUUUGAGAGAGAGGAUGACCAGAGAAGGGUGAGAGGGGUAGAAGCAGACUCCCUGCUGAGCAGGAAGCCUGAUGCAGGAUUCAAUCCCAGGACCCUGGGAUCAUGAUCUGAGCUGAAGGCAGAUACUUAACCAACUGAGACACCCAGGCCCAGUUGCUGAGGAACAACCAGAAAAGAGAGGCAGGGACAAGCUCAGAGUGUUAAGUCCUUUCCAGUCUAAUGAAAAUGGAAUCAUGGGCAGAAGCUGGUCUCAUAAUUCUCCACCCUACUCAGGGCACCACGUAGUGGCUGGGUCAGUCCUUGUUGGUCACUAAAGGGCCAUAAAGUAGAAUUUAGAAGAGACCUACCUGAGGAGACCUUUCCUCUCAGUUCUGGUCCAGGGUCUGUUGCAGGGCUUCUCCAUAAGGAUGGGCCAGGGUUCAUUUGUCAGCCUCCUGUAUAGUCAGUCUGUUGUAAAUUCUGUGAAUGCAUCAGCAUCAGGGGACAUUGUUGCUACUCUUCUUUAUGGCCCUGGGCUUGGGCACAAAGUGAUUAUCCUUGUCAGGAUGUGAUUCUUCUUCCUUGACUCAAGAUGAAACUCCUUUCCAAGGAUUUCCCCAUUCUUGUAGGAAACUGAAUUUCCUGGUGUUGCCAAGCACUGGCCUGGAAGGGACAGAAAAUGUGGAUGCACCUUGGCAUGACUCACUCUGUAUAUUUGGGUGAUUUUCAGACACUCUCCUUCUACAGUGACAAGGCCCACACAUUCCUUUAGGUCUGCUGGUGGGAGGUGAGAAAUCCUUAAAUGGGAAGAUCAGGAACUAGCAUCACUGGGCAAAGUAAUGUCCAAUCCCCAUACUCAAACCUGUCAGAAAGCAUCUGUGCAUCUGGAUAUUAUUCGAGUUCAUGAAUGAAAAAAAUAUGAAAACUGACCGAACAAAGGGAUUCUGACUAAGGAAUUCCUGGCCUGGAGGGGCUCUUCCUUUGUUUCAGGGAAUGUGAUAGGUGUCCUUGUAAGGGACCUCAUUUACCUUCCGCUCUGUGGGCAAAGACAGAGCUCUAGGUACCCCGAGUCAGGCCUGUCAUCCAUGGAGCUGCCCUGUGGGCCAGGAUGGAACCUAGGGAUGGUGAAGGUCCUAGGCUGGGGUGGCAGAGACAGAGAAAAAGAAAAGUGGCUGUUAGAUUGUUGUCACCAGAAGGCUGCUCUUGUCCCUAAGUUUUUCUUCCAUUGCCUUAAGAUUUUUAAUAUUUCAUCUAGCAUCCAUCCAUGUUGUCACACAUGGCUUGAGCUUAUCCUUUUUUAUGGAUGAGUAAUAAUCCAUUGUGUACAUAUGCUGCCUUUUCCUUAUCCAUUCAUCUAUCAGUGAUGGACACUUGGGCUGUUUCCAUAUCUUGGCUCUUGUAAAUAAUGCUGCAGUGACCAUAGGGGUGCAUGUAUCUUUUCAGGUUAGUGUUUUGGUUUUCUAUGGGCAAAUAUCCAAUAGUGGAAAUAUUGGAUCAUAAGGUAUUUCUACUUUUAAUUUUUGUGAAACCUCAUGCUGUUUUCCACAGUGGUUGCACCAGUUUGCAUUCCCACCAACAGUGUAAGAGGGUUCCCUAAGUCAGCCAUAUAAUUUCAUUCAUAUGUGGCAUCUAAAAAAACAAAAACAGGGUGCCUGAGCAUCUGCCUUUGGCUCAGGUCAUGAUCCUGGGGUCCUGGGAUAGAGUCCUGCAUUGGGCUCCCUGCAGGGAGUCUGCUUCUCCCUCUCCCUCUGCCUAUGUCUCUGCCACUUUCUCUGUGUCUCUCAUGAAGAAAUAAAUAAAAUAUUUUUAAAAAGUAAACAAAAAAGAGGCGGGGCAAGAUGGCGGAAGAGUAGGGUCCCCAAGUCACCUAUCCCUGCCAACUUACUUAGAUAACUUUAAAAUCAUCCUUAAAACCUAUGAAUUCGGCCUGAGAUUUAAAAGAGAGAACAGCUGGAAGGCUACAGUGAGAAGAGUUCAUGCUUCUAUGAAGGUAGGAAGACGGAAAAAAA
rnacentral:lncRNA from 1 species